rnacentral:rRNA from 1 species
UACAGAGGUCCCAAGCGUUUGUUCGGAUUCACUGGGCGUAAAGGGUGCGUAGGUGGUGAGGUAAGUCGGAUGUGAAAUCUCCGAGCUCAACUCGGAAAUGGCAUUGGAAACUACCUUGCUCGAGGGUUGGAGGGGGGACUGGAAUGCUUGGUGUAGCAGUGAAAUGCGUAGAUAUCAAGCGGAACACCAGUGGCGAAGGCGAGUCCCUGGACAACUCCUGACACUGAGGCACGAAAGCUAGGGGAGCAAACAGG